UGCCAAAGCAAUAUCGCCCUGCAGCCCAAGACCGGUUACUCACUGAAGCUAAGCAUGGAUGAGCCUGGUCAGUACAUGGAAGGGAGACCACAUGAGAAAACUAGGUUGCUGUUUGAA
rnacentral:rRNA from 1 species